rnacentral:rRNA from 1 species
UUGAAGAGUUUGAUCAUGGCUCAGAUUGAACGCUGGCGGCAGGCCUAACACAUGCAAGUCGAGCGGUAGCACAGAGAGCUUGCUCUCGGGUGACGAGCGGCGGACGGGUGAGUAAUGUCUGGGAAACUGCCUGAUGGAGGGGGAUAACUACUGGAAACGGUAGCUAAUACCGCAUAACGUCGCAAGACCAAAGUGGGGGACCUUCGGGCCUCAUGCCAUCAGAUGUGCCCAGAUGGGAUUAGCUAGUAGGUGGGGUAACGGCUCACCUAGGCGACGAUCCCUAGCUGGUCUGAGAGGAUGACCAGCCACACUGGAACUGAGACACGGUCCAGACUCCUACGGGAGGCAGCAGUGGGGAAUAUUGCACAAUGGGCGCAAGCCUGAUGCAGCCAUGCCGCGUGUAUGAAGAAGGCCUUCGGGUUGUAAAGUACUUUCAGCGGGGAGGAAGGCGAUAAGGUUAAUAACCUUGUCGAUUGACGUUACCCGCAGAAGAAGCACCGGCUAACUCCGUGCCAGCAGCCGCGGUAAUACGGAGGGUGCAAGCGUUAAUCGGAAUUACUGGGCGUAAAGCGCACGCAGGCGGUCUGUCAAGUCGGAUGUGAAAUCCCCGGGCUCAACCUGGGAACUGCAUUCGAAACUGGCAGGCUAGAGUCUUGUAGAGGGGGGUAGAAUUCCAGGUGUAGCGGUGAAAUGCGUAGAGAUCUGGAGGAAUACCGGUGGCGAAGGCGGCCCCCUGGACAAAGACUGACGCUCAGGUGCGAAAGCGUGGGGAGCAAACAGGAUUAGAUACCCUGGUAGUCCACGCCGUAAACGAUGUCGAUUUGGAGGUUGUGCCCUUGAGGCGUGGCUUCCGGAGCUAACGCGUUAAAUCGACCGCCUGGGGAGUACGGCCGCAAGGUUAAAACUCAAAUGAAUUGACGGGGGCCCGCACAAGCGGUGGAGCAUGUGGUUUAAUUCGAUGCAACGCGAAGAACCUUACCUGGUCUUGACAUCCACAGAACUUAGCAGAGAUGCUUUGGUGCCUUCGGGAACUGUGAGACAGGUGCUGCAUGGCUGUCGUCAGCUCGUGUUGUGAAAUGUUGGGUUAAGUCCCGCAACGAGCGCAACCCUUAUCCUUUGUUGCCAGCGGUUCGGCCGGGAACUCAAAGGAGACUGCCAGUGAUAAACUGGAGGAAGGUGGGGAUGACGUCAAGUCAUCAUGGCCCUUACGACCAGGGCUACACACGUGCUACAAUGGCGCAUACAAAGAGAAGCGACCUCGCGAGAGCAAGCGGACCUCAUAAAGUGCGUCGUAGUCCGGAUUGGAGUCUGCAACUCGACUCCAUGAAGUCGGAAUCGCUAGUAAUCGUAGAUCAGAAUGCUACGGUGAAUACGUUCCCGGGCCUUGUACACACCGCCCGUCACACCAUGGGAGUGGGUUGCAAAAGAAGUAGGUAGCUUAACCUUCGGGAGGGCGCUUACCACUUUGUGAUUCAUGACUGGGGUGAAGUCGUAACAAGGUAACCGUAGGGGAACCUGCGGUUGGAUCACCUCCUU